GCAAAGCCCUGGCUCCCUCGGAGGAUCGGGGCUUUCUUGUUUGUAAAACAGGACACGGACUUUAGGAGCUCAGACACGAAUGCAUGCAAAAGCCUUACAGAGGGUUCAGGAGAGGAGACAGGACUUGAGUGUCACUUCCCCUCCUGCUGUCUUGUGGCCCUGCCAUGCACUGUGGCAAGUCUUCUGUUAUCUUCUGCCUGAGAGGCCGUGACUAAGAAGGUUCCAGACUUCCCGUCUAUCAAAGGAUGGAGGGAGAAAGGGCUCCGAAGGAGAAGGAAGAAGAAUAAGGGCAUUGGCCUCAGUCCAGAUGAAAAGACCCAGAUGCAAAAUUAUUUGGGCCACAUAUGUGUUGUUUGCUUAUCAAAUUUUCAACCUUUGAAAAAUCACAAUAUUGGAUGGUGGGAAUCAGUAGCAUUGCUGGAGUUCCUGUGGGUGGCAGGAGUUGGACAUUGUGGCAGGUGACCCUGCAAAGGAUAAACACAGAACCUGCAGAGGGUAAAGGAUUUCCCAAGUCUCACUCCUGGAGGGAGGGGCACAGGCAUGAGCAGCCUAUCGGGCCCCAUGUCAUGCAGCUAUGUUCUCUGCUGCUGGUGAGCUUGGCAUCGAAAGAAAACAUAGCAGGAAUGAUUUUGUCUGGGUUGGGGAUUUGGGGGAGUUUAGACUAUAAA
rnacentral:lncRNA from 1 species